rnacentral:rRNA from 1 species
GCCGAGUGGCGAACGGGUGAGUAACACGUGAGUAACCUGCCCUUGACUUUGGGAUAACUUCAGGAAACUGGGGCUAAUACCGGAUAGGAGCUCCUGCUGCAUGGUGGGGGUUGGAAAGUUUCGGCGGUUGGGGAUGGACUCGCGGCUUAUCAGCUUGUUGGUGGGGUAGUGGCUUACCAAGGCUUUGACGGGUAGCCGGCCUGAGAGGGUGACCGGCCACAUUGGGACUGAGAUACGGCCCAG